AACGAACGCUGGCGGCAGGCCUAACACAUGCAAGUCGAACGCCCUAGCAAUAGGGAGUGGCAGACGGGUGAGUAACGCGUGGGAAUAUCCCCCUCAGUACGGAAUAGCCCAGGGAAACUUGGAGUAAUACCGUAUACGUCCGUGAGGAGAAAGAUUUAUCGCUGAGGGAUUAGCCCGCGUAGGAUUAGCUAGUUGGUGAGGUAACGGCUCACCAAGGCGACGAUCCUUAGCUGGUCUGAGAGGACGAUCAGCCACACUGGGACUGAGACACGGCCCAGACUCCUACGGGAGGCAGCAGUGGGGAAUAUUGGACAAUGGGCGCAAGCCUGAUCCAGCCAUGCCGCGUGAGUGACGAAGGCCUUAGGGUUGUAAAGCUCUUUUGGCGGGGACGAUAAUGACGGUACCCGCAGAAUAAGCCCCGGCUAACUUCGUGCCAGCAGCCGCGGUAAUACGAAGGGGGCUAGCGUUGUUCGGAAUCACUGGGCGUAAAGCGCACGUAGGCGGACUUUCAAGUCAGGGGUGAAAUCCCGGGGCUCAACCUCGGAACUGCCUUUGAUACUGUUGGUCUCGAAUCCGGUAGAGGUGGGUGGAAUUCCUAGUGUAGAGGUGAAAUUCGUAGAUAUUAGGAAGAACACC
rnacentral:rRNA from 1 species